AGAGUUUGAUCCUGGCUCAGGACGAACGCUGGCGGCGUGCUUAACACAUGCAAGUCGAACGGAAAGGCCCCUUCGGGGGUACUCGAGUGGCGAACGGGUGAGUAACACGUGGGUGAUCUGCCCUGCACUUCGGGAUAAGCCUGGGAAACUGGGUCUAAUACCGGAUAGGACCCUCCUUUAGUGUGGGGGGUGGAAAGAUUUAUCGGUGCAGGAUGAGCCCGCGGCCUAUCAGCUUGUUGGUGGGGUAAUGGCCUACCAAGGCGUCGACGGGUAGCCGGCCUGAGAGGGUGGACGGCCACAUUGGGACUGAGAUACGGCCCAGACUCCUACGGGAGGCAGCAGUGGGGAAUAUUGCACAAUGGGCGGAAGCCUGAUGCAGCGACGCCGCGUGGGGGAUGACGGCCUUCGGGUUGUAAACCUCUUUCGACAGGGACGAAGUGAAAAUGACGGUACCUGUAUAAGAAGCACCGGCUAACUACGUGCCAGCAGCCGCGGUAAUACGUAGGGUGCGAGCGUUGUCCGGAAUUACUGGGCGUAAAGAGCUCGUAGGUGGUUUGUCACGUCGUCUGUGAAAUUCCGGGGCUUAACCUCGGGGCGUGCAGGCGAUACGGGGCAAUACUUGANUGCUGUAGGGGAGACUGGAAUUCCUGGUGUANCGGUGAAAUGCNCANAUAUCANNAGGAACACCAAUGGCGAAGGCAGGUCUCUG
rnacentral:rRNA from 1 species